rnacentral:rRNA from 1 species
GACGAACGCUGGCGGCGUGCUUAACACAUGCAAGUCGAAUGGAAAGGCCCUGCUUUUGUGGGGUGCUCGAGUGGCGAACGGGUGAGUAACACGUGAGUAACCUGCCCUUGACUUUGGGAUAACUUCAGGAAACUGGGUCUAAUACCGGAUAGGAGCUCCUGCUGCAUGGUGGGGGUUGGAAAGUUUCGGCGGUUGGGGAUGGACUCGCGGCUUAUCAGCUUGUUGGUGGGGUAGUGGCUUACCAAGGCUUUGACGGGUAGCCGGCCUGAGAGGGUGACCGGCCACAUUGGGACUGAGAUACGGCCCAGACUCCUACGGGAGGCAGCAGUGGGGAAUAUUGCACAAUGGGCGGAAGCCUGAUGCAGCGACGCCGCGUGCGGGAUGACGGCCUUCGGGUUGUAAACCGCUUUCGCCUGUGACGAAGCGUGAGUGACGGUAAUGGGUAAAGAAGCACCGGCUAACUACGUG